AGAGUUUGAUCCUGGCUCAGGACGAACGCUGGCGGCGCGCUUAACACAUGCAAGUCGAACGUGAAGCCUGGAGCUUGCUCCGGGUGGAAAGUGGCGAACGGGUGAGGAACACGUGAGAAACCUGCCCUGAAGACCGGGACAACCAUUGGAAACGAUGGCUAAUACCGGAUGUCUUCAUCGGAUCGCAUGAUCUGAUGAAGAAAUGGAUUCCGCUUCAGGAUGGUCUCGCGGCCUAUCAGCUUGUUGGUGGGGUAAUGGCCUACCAAGGCAUCGACGGGUAGCUGGUCUGAGAGGAUGUCCAGCCACACUGGGACUGAGACACGGCCCAGACUCCUACGGGAGGCAGCAGUGGGGAAUCUUGCACAAUGGGCGAAAGCCUGAUGCAGCGACGCCGCGUGCGGGAUGAAGGCCUUCGGGUUGUAAACCGCUUUCA
rnacentral:rRNA from 1 species